UACGUAGGGUGCAGGCGUUAAUCGGAAUUACUGGGCGUAAAGCGUGCGCAGGCGGUUUGCUAAGACAGGUGUGAAAUCCCCGGGCUUAACCUGGGAACUGCGCUUGUUACUGGCAGGCUUGAGUGUGGCAGAGGGGGGGUGGAAUUCCACGUGUAGCAGUGAAAUGCGUAGAGAGUGUGGAGGAAUACCGAUGGCGAAGGCAGCCGUCCUCGGCGGCAAACA
rnacentral:rRNA from 1 species